rnacentral:rRNA from 1 species
AUUGAACGCUGGCGGCAUGCUUUACACAUGCAAGUCGAACGGCAGAGCGCGCCUCGGCCUGUGGGCGAGUGGCGAACGGGUGAGUAAUGCGUCGGAAAGUGCCCCGUAGUGGGGGAUAGCGCGGGGAAAACCGGAUUAAUAACGCGUACGUCCCGAGCGUGACAGCGGGGGACCGAAAGACCUCGCGCUAUUUGAGCGGCCGACGUCGGCUUAGCUAGUUGGUGGGGUAAAGGCUUACCAAGGCGACGAACCGUAGCUGGUCUGAGAGGACGACCAGCCACACUGGAGCUGAGACACGGCCCAGACUACUGCGGGAGGCAGCAGUCGGGAAUUUUGGACAAUGGGGGCAACCCUGAUCCAGCCAUGCCGCGUGCGAGAAGAAGGCCUUCGGGUUGUAAUGCGCGUUUGUUCGGGGGGAAAGCCUCUCAGCUAAUACCCUGGGAUGGUGACGGUACCGGCAGGAGAAGCACCGGCUAACUACGUG